CCCUUAGACGUUCUGGGCUGCAUGCGCGCUACACUGAAGCUAUCAACACGUUUUCCCUCCCUGAGAAGGGCGGGUAACCUUUUGAAUCAGCUUCGUGGUAGGGAUCGGGGCUUGCAAUUGUUCCCCGUGAACCAGGAAUUCCUAGUAGACGCGAGUCAUAAGCUCGCAUCGAUUAAGUCCCUGCCCUUUGUACACACCGCCCGUCGCUACUACCGAUUGAACGUUUUAGUGAGGCAUUUGGACCGACGCAUCUCAGUUUAACCGCUGGUUUGUGUUGGAAAGACUUCCAAACUUGAGCGUUUAGAGGAAGUAAAAGUCGUAACA
rnacentral:rRNA from 1 species